rnacentral:lncRNA from 1 species
UAAAUGAAAAGAUGUAAUAUAUUGCUUUGAUCUGCGAGAAUGUAUGUGAUUACAAAAUGAUUAGGACCCUCUUUAUAUAGUAGAGGAAUUCUUUUUGUGGUACAAUUAUAAUUACAGAAGGAAAUCCCAUGAUGGGCUAAAUAUCCGGUCUUGGCUUGAUACGUGCCGAGGUUUCCGCCACGAUCCUCGCCUGAUCACGGCUAUAUCGGGUUUCUGUUAUUCGACCUAGCAGGCUUCUCCGUUCUCAUUCGAUCUCUUUCUCGCUUCGGACUCGGUCACGGUUGAUAUCGAUCUUGAUCAGCCAUUGUUCCACGAGCUUAUUAAUUCAUCCUCGUAUUAUGAUCCGAUAUAACCGAGGCCGAGCCUUAAUCUAUCACCUCGAUUUCAGUCAGUCAUACAAAAUUAAGCAAGCUCAAUUAUAAAGCGGUAUCCUUAAAAAGUUGUUUUAUACCAAAUUAAACAAAUACUUAGCAAACUUUUUUUGAGGACAAAAUGAGGAAAAUAGUAAGUACCAUUCAAGCUCAUGGAGCAAAUUAUGCUAACUUAAGGAUGAGGCGGGAGUUGGAUUUAAUUCCCUUUCUAACAUACAAGGCUAUUUGCUAUGAAACGAUCGUGGAGACUGAGGACUCACCAGUGUCUAUAGGCUUCUUUCAUCACGGCAAAGUAUUGUCUAAGGACCAAUAUCAUUGCUAGAAAAUAGAUCUUUACUCAAUCAUAGAGCUGCAAAAAGCUCCUGGAGAGUAGAAAGAAAGCUGAGCCAUAUAUGAUAUGGAAAGUUAAUAAAGGAAAUUCAUUAUUUUGAUGGCACUUGGGGGUGUACAAAGAAAACCGAUAAAUCGAAUCAACCCGAUAGUUCGAGUCAAACUGAGAGAAAAAUUCGAUUAUGGUUUGGUUUGAUUUGGUUUGGUGUUGGAAAAAAAUCCGACCAUAAUUGGUUUGAUUUUAACUAAAGAAAGUCAAACCGAAACCAAACCAACUCGGCAUUACAUAUAUAGAAAUUUUAGAUAUAUUUAACAUAUAAAUAUACUUAUUGUGAUGUAAUUUGCAAAUAUUUCUUAAACUUUUUUCAUAAUUUUAUCAUUUAAGGUAUUAUUUCAAGGUUGGACUUAGAACUUUUGAAUGUUCCAAUAAGUUUUAUAGUCAUUAAUAUUAGUAACUUAAAUAAGAGAUAAAUAAUGCUAACAAAAGCCCAAACCAAAAUCAAAUCAAUACUAAUGCUAACAAAAGACAGUCAGUUCAAUACUACGAAUGGCAAUGUAUUGAAUAUCUAUUUUGGUUUUGCAAUAAUUUAGAUAAAAAUACGUAACCUAUUUUUAUUUUUUCUUUAGCGUUUAAUCAUGUAAUUAAUACUCCCUUAUUAGUCUACUUAUUUUCGCAUGACUUAGUACUUUUAGAUUAUGUUUAUUUUUAUUAUUGUUUUUUAAUUAGCAAUAUGUAUAUUACAUAAUUUUAUUGUCUUUAUUGUUGAAUAUUCUAGGAUAAUGCCAUGACAUAUCUUAGUAUUUUGUAUUAUUUUCUUGGAAAAUACCUUAUAUAGUUGUAUCUUACCAGGAUUAAAGAAAUAUUUUGAGCACAAGUUAUAUGUUUUGUCCUACAAAUAUUUUACCGGAAAAAACCCGAAAAACCUGAAUAACCCGAAAACCCGAUAUUGAAAAACUCGAGUUUUAUUGGUUUGGUCUUUAGAUUAAAUAACCCGACACAAUUGGUUUGGUUUGGUAAUUGCAAAAUCCGAACCAACCCGACCUAUGUAGCCCUAGGUGGCACAACCGGACAGGACUUGGUCCUUUAGCUCUUGUACUACAACCUGGAGGUAGAUCAGGAGAGAUUAAGGUCAAGGAAUGCACUCAGGACAGUAGAUGGAACUCCAACAAAUUGUCUAAGAUAGUCCAUCCUAAAUGCAAAGUCACAUAGAACAGAUUCAUGUCUCUCGCACUUAUGCAGACGAUCAAUGUUAUUGGAUCUUAGUUCUGAUGGAUAGUUCAUUUGUUCUUCUGCUUGAGAGAUCGGACAGACAAAUAAAAAUGACACAUUUUCUAGGCUAUGGCACAAAGGAAUUCCUUUUAAAGCUUUCCUCUGUUGGAGUAUUCUGAAGAAAAAACUUCAUUUGGAUGAUACUUUAUCUAGAUUUAGUCAAAAUAUUAUUUCCAAAUGCACUUGCUGUAGGUCCCCUCGAUCAGAAACCACCUCUCACUUUGAAAAUGUGACAAUUAAGAGUGUGGACCUAGUUUGUCACAUCCUGAAGUUGCUUCUACUUCUUCCUUAAUCUCCAAAGCUGAAGCCUUGACAUUAUCAUCACAAUAGAACACCUUGAUUGUUGUAAGCGUUCCAAUAUCCGCAAAACUGUCAGGAAUUUUCUCAAGCAAUUCAACAGAUCUUAGCACUAAACUCUCAAGC